rnacentral:misc_RNA from 1 species
UUUACAACCAAUGAUUUAGGCAAUCUAUUGAGGAAAAAGAAAACAAUCUAGAGCCAAAGCUAUAAAACAAGCUUCAUUUAUACCAUCAACCUCUACGUCAAUUUGAAGGAGUCUGUUCCGGAAUUUUGUUUGUGCUAGAUUAUAGAUAUUAGUUUCUGUAAGAAAAUUGUCAUGGCUUUUAUUUUAUUUUGUUGGUUUAUCAGCAAAUUUGUGUGUUCUUUUUUAUGAAGAGCGUCAACCUCUACGUCAAUUUGAAGGAGUCUGUUCCGGAAUUUUGUUUGUGCUAGAUUAUAGAUAUUAGUUUCUGUAAGAAAAUUGUCAUGGCUUUUAUUUUAUUUUGUUGGUUUAUCAGCAAAUUUGUGUGUUCUUUUUUAUGAAGAGCG